GCGGGAACACCGGCGGCCCGAGUGGUGAUCGUGAUUAUUGGGUCUAAAGGGUCCGUAGCCGGUUUGGUCAGUCCUCCGGGAAAUCUGAUAGCUCAACUAUUAGGCUUUCGGGGGAUACUGCCAGACUUGGAACCGGGAGAGGUAAGAGGUACUACAGGGGUAGGAGUGAAAUCUUGUAAUCCCUGUGGGACCACCUGUGGCGAAGGCGUCUUACCAGAACGGGUUCGACGGUGAGGGACGAAAGCUGGGGGGCACGAACCGGAUUAGAUACCCGGGUAGUCCCAGCCGUAAACGAUGCUCGCUAGGUGUCAGGCAUGGCGCGACCGUGUCUGGUGCCGCAGGGAAGCCGUGAAGCGAGCCACCUGGGAAGUACGGCCGCAAGGCUGAAACUUAAAGGAAUUGGCGGGGGAGCACAACAACGGGUGGAGCCCUGCGGUUUAAUUGGACUCAACGCCGGACAACUCACCGGGGGCGACAGCAAUAUGUAGGCCAAGCUGAAGACUUUGCCUGAAUCGCUGAGAAGUGGUGCAUGG
rnacentral:rRNA from 1 species